CUUUGCUCUCAGAGUGAAAGCCAAGUGCCCAUGUAAUUUGAGUCUCUGUAUCUGGGGCUUGAUCCUAUCCAGUGGCGAGGACAAAGAACCCAAGUCAGAGAAACUGUGCUCAGGAAGACAACACCAGGAGGAAGAGAACCUGGGAGAGAAAACAGGUGGUAUAUUGCUCACCAGGCUGCAUCCAUGGGGAAAAGUAACCCAUCUACUGAGGAGACUUAUAUGAGCAUAACAGCCACACUUGGUCUUCCAGAAGAUUGAGGGAGGAACAAAGAAAGACAGGACCAGAGAGAAUGAACAAGGGCCCUCACAUUCCCCAGUGCAGGUGUUGGUCAGGCAUCCUUGUCCUAGUGACAGCAAUGUCCUUAUUGGUGCAGUACUCCAGCAGAGCAGUGGACACGGGCUGCGUCUCCUACAUCCCUCAGAAGCUGGGAUUUAUGGCUUGUAUUAUUAUUGGCUCAUCUACACCUUCGUGUAGACCCCAAGGUCAAAGACUUUUACCUACCCCAUUUCAACACUGAGGAUUCCUCUCUGCAGGAUUUAAGAAGAACAGAAGUAUUCUAUAUCUCACUUGCUACUGUAUAAAUAUAAUGGUAUGAGUGGCUAUAUUCACUUAAAAUAUGAAGGUAUAUAAAACAAAGGUGUGUGUGUAUAUA
rnacentral:lncRNA from 1 species